CCUACGGGAGGCAGCAGUGGGGAAUAUUGCACAAUGGGGGAAACCCUGAUGCAGCGACGCCGCGUGAGCGAUGAAGUAUUUCGGUAUGUAAAGCUCUAUCAGCAGGGAAGAAAAUGACGGUACCUGACUACGAAGCCCCGGCUAACUCCGUGCCAGCCGCCGCGGUAAUACGUAGGGGGCAAGCGUUAUCCGGAUUUACUGGGUGUAAGGGGAACGUAGACGGUCCUGCAAGCCAGAUGUGAAAGCCCGGGGCUCAACCCCGGGACUGCAUUUGGAACUGUAAGGCUAGAGUGUCGGAGAGGCAGGCGGAAUGCCGGGUGGAGCGGUGAAAUGCGUAGAUAUUAGGAGGAACACCAGUGGCGAAGGCGGCCUGCUGGACGAUGACUGACGUUGAGGCGCGAAAGCGUGGGGAGCAAACAGGAUUAGAUACCCGGGUAGUC
rnacentral:rRNA from 1 species